rnacentral:lncRNA from 1 species
CAAUUAUAUAAAUCAAAACAUAAUGGUUAUUCCUGAUUAAUUUUUUGAAUUAUUUUAUAAUUAAAGGCGUUAAGAAACCUUUGGUGACCCCACAGUUUAAAUGUCUAUCGUAGGUACGUCAUGAACAGUGGUCGUUACAGACAAACGUUCACGUAAGUUGUCCCAGUCAAUGGAUGAAUUUAAUGUGUCAAUCAAUGGCCACAGCCACACUGUUUUGAAUUUCAUUCUAUUU